CCAACCCGCGAGGGUGAGCCAAUCCCAAAACCCCAUCUCAGUUCGGAUCGGAGUCUGCAACUCGACUCCGUGAAGUUGGAAUCGCUAGUAAUCGCGGAUCAGCCAUGCCGCGGUGAAUACGUUCCCGGGCCUUGUACACACCGCCCGUCAAGCCAUGGAAGCUGGGGGCGCCUGAAGUCGGUCACCGCAAGGAACUGCCUAGGGCGAAUCUGGUAACUGGGGCUAAGUCGUAACAAGGUAGCCGUACCGGAAGGUGCGGCUGGAUUAUCUCCUUUUUAGAGAAAACGACAAUCUGGUUUCGUUGGGCUGCUGCAUCAUUCUUCUUUUUUCCGUCUUAUCUCUAGUCCUGUAGCUCAGUUGGUUAGAGCACUACACUGAUAAUGUAGGGGUCAGCAGUUCAAAUCUGCUCAGGACUACGAUGAAAGAUGGGGGAUUAGCUCAGCUGGCUAGAGCGCCUGCUUUGCAAGCAGGAGGUCAUCGGUUCGACUCCGAUAUUCUCCACAUAAGAAGUUCUUUGACGUACUGGUAGAAGAUAGCGAAAUUGAUAAGUAAAGAAGGGCAGUAGGCGGAUGCCUUGGCUCUCAACAGCGAUGAAGGACGUGAUAAGCUGCGAUAAGCCAUGC
rnacentral:misc_RNA from 1 species